rnacentral:rRNA from 1 species
GAUAGAGAUGGGCUCGCGUGACAUUAGCUAGUUGGUAGGGUAACGGCUUACCAAGGCGACGAUGUCUAGGGGCUCUGAGAGGAGAAUCCCCCACACUGGUACUGAGACACGGACCAGACUCCUACGGGAGGCAGCAGUAAGGAAUAUUGGUCAAUGGGCGGAAGCCUGAACCAGCCAUGCCGCGUGCAGGAUGACUGCCCUAUGGGUUGUAAACUGCUUUUGUCCAGGAAUAAACCUAAAUACGUGUAUUUAGCUGAAUGUACUGGAAGAAUAAGGAUCGGCUAACUCCGUGCCAGCAGCCGCGGUAAUACGGAGGAUCCGAGCGUUAUCCGGAUUUAUUGGGUUUAAAGGGUGCGUAGGCGGCCUAUUAAGUCAGGGGUGAAAUACGGUGGCUCAACCAUCGCAGUGCCUUUGAUACUGAUGGGCUUGAAUCCAUUUGAAGUGGGCGGAAUAAGACAAGUAGCGGUGAAAUGCAUAGAUAUGUCUUAGAACUCCGAUUGCGAAGGCAGCUCACUAAGCUGGUAUUGACGCUGAUGCACGAAAGCGUGGGGAUCGAACAGGAUUAGAUACCCUGGUAGUCCACGCCCUAAACGAUGAUAACUCGAUGUUGGCGAUAGACAGCCAGCGUCCCAGCGAAAGCG